UACAGAGGGUGCAAGCGUUAAUCGGAAUUACUGGGCGUAAAGCGUGCGUAGACGGUCAUGUAAGUCGGGUGUGAAAGCCCCGGGCUCAACCUGGGAAUUGCAUUCGAGACUGCAUGGCUAGGAUGCGGAAGAGGGAAGCGGAAUUUCCGGUGUAGCGGUGAAAUGCGUAGAUAUCGGAAGGAACACCAGUGGCGAAAGCGGCUUCCUGGUCCAGCAUCGACGGUUCAGGCACGAAAAGCGUGGGGGAGCAAACAGG
rnacentral:rRNA from 1 species